UGGGGAAUCUUGGACAAUGGGGGCAACCCUGAUCCAGCAAUGCCGCGUGUGUGAAGAAGGCCUUCGGGUUGUAAAGCACUUUCAGUGGGGACAAACAAGACGGAGCUAACAUCUCCGUUUCUGAUGGUACCCAAAGAAGAAGCACCGGCUAACUCUGUGCCAGCAGCCGCGGUAAUACAGAGGGUGCAAGCGUUAAUCGGAAUUACUGGGCGUAAAGCGUGCGUAGGUGGUUCACUAAGUCAGAUGUGAAAGGCCUGGGCUCAACCCGGGAACUGCCUUUGAAACUGAAGGUCUAGAGGCCGAGAGAGGUUAGCGGAAUUCCCAGUGUAGAGGUGAAAUUCGUAGAUAUUGGGAAGAACACCAGUGGCGAAGGCGGCUAUCUGGCUCGGUUCUGACGCUGAGGCGCGAAAGCGUGGGGAGCAAACAGGAUUAGAUACCCUGGUAGCCCACGCUGUAAACGAUGUGUGCUAGCCGUUGGAAAACUUGUUUUUCAGUGGCGCAGCUAACGCGUUAAGCACACCGCCUGGGGAGUACGGUCGCAAGAUUA
rnacentral:rRNA from 1 species